GACGAACGCUGGCGGCGUGCUUAACACAUGCAAGUCGAGCGGUAAGGCCCUUUCGGGGGUACGACGAGCGGCGAACGGGUGAGUAACACGUGGGUGACCUGCCCUCAGCUCUGGGAGUAAGCCUGGGAAACCGGGUCUAAUACUGGAUAUGACUCCAUGACGCAUGUUGGUGGGGUGGAAAGCCUUGUGCGGCUGAGGAUGGGCCCGCGGCCUAUCAGCUUGUUGGUGGGGUGAGGCCUACCAAGGCGACGACGGGUAGCCGGCCUGAGAGGGCGACCGGCCACACUGGGACUGAGACACGGCCCAGACUCCUACGGGAGGCAGCAGUGGGGAAUCUUGCGCAAUGGGCGAAAGCCUGACGCAGCGACGCCGCGUGAGGGA
rnacentral:rRNA from 1 species